GGUCCCAUGGGAUUUUUUUUGUCCCAUGGGACAACAAAAAUCCCAUGGGACCAAAAAAAUCCCAUGGGACC
rnacentral:sRNA from 1 species